UAAGGAAUAUUGGUCAAUGGGCGCAAGCCUGAACCAGCCAUGCCGCGUGAAGGAUGAAGGCCCUAUGGGUUGUAAACUUCUUUUGUACGGGAAAAAACCCUCGCUCGUGAGCGAGGCUGAUGGUACCGUAAGAAUAAGGAUCGGCUAACUCCGUGCCAGCAGCCGCGGUAAUACGGAGGAUCCAAGCGUUAUCCGGAUUCAUUGGGUUUAAAGGGUGCGUAGGCGGGAUAGUAAGUCAGUGGUGAAAGCCCACAGCUCAACUGUGGAACUGCCAUUGAUACUGCUAACCUUGAGUGUGUUUGAUGUGGGCGGAAUGUGCAGUGUAGCGGUGAAAUGCUUAGAUAUUGCACAGAACACCGAUUGCGAAGGCAGCUCACAAAACCACAACUGACGCUGAGGC
rnacentral:rRNA from 1 species